CUUCCGCCCGGCGGCGGCGGGGCGCACCGUUGGGUCACCAGUGAGUCUGCAAAGUCGCUGAGGUUCUGGGACAGCGCGGCGUCACCGAGCGUGAGCCUUCCGCCCGGGGACGCGGCCGCCACAGCUCGGGACGCGGGGAGCGCGGCCGGCGCGAGCUCAAGACCCGGCCCGACGUGCUCACUGCGGCAGCGGCGCCUCCUGGACGGGGACCCAGGGCCCGGACCGCGCUCUUCCCGGGGGCGCCGCCGAGCCCUCGUCCCUGCCGGGCCCGGCUGCCGCAGGGUCUCCCUUUGUCGCCCAGGCUGCAGUGCAGUAGCGCGAUCUCGGCUCACUGCAGCCUCUACCUCCCCGGCACAAGCGAUCCUCCAGCCUCAGCCUCCCGAGUAGCUGGGACUACAGGCGCCACCAUGCCCGGCUACCUUUUGUAUUUUUUGUAGAGAUGGCGCCUUGCCAAGUUCCCCAGGCAUUAACCCGGAAACAACCUGGCGGGUCAGGGAGAGCCUCUUCUGCUCAGAGGUCAUUGUGCCCAGACUUGAGCCCUGGCUGUGAAGUCCCUGAGGCCCCUCACUCCAGGGACGGGAAGCACCAAAGAUGUGAUGUUUCCUCCUCGGUUUCUGAGACUGCCUGGAAGCGGGGGGUGGAUAGUGGUGAGCAGCCGUCUCCUCCUUUCCUGAGAACAUAAAUCAGAAACGCUUUCUGAGGCCGGGCACGGUGGGUCAUGCCUGUAAUCCCAGCACUUUGGGAGGCUGAGGUGGGUGGAUCACCUGAGGUCAGGACCAGCUUGGCCAACAUCGUGAUAACCCCCUCUCCACUGAAAAUACAAAAAUGAGCCAGGCAUGUUGGUACGUGCCUGUAAUCCCAGCUACUUAGGAGGCUGAGGCAGAAGAAUUGCUUAAACUCGGGAAACGGAGGUUGCAGUGAGCUGAGAUUGUGCCACUGCACUCCAGCCUGGGCUACAGAGUGAGACUCUUGUCUCAGGAAAAAAAAAAAAAAAAAAGUGCCUCAAAAAUAAACAAUUAAAAAUGUUCUUAUGGUCUUCACAA
rnacentral:lncRNA from 1 species